UUCCGGUUGAUCCCGCCGGACCUGACUGCUAUCGGAUUGAUACUAAGCCAUGCGAGUCUUUGUAGUAAUACAAGGCAGACGGCUCAGUAACACGUAGUCAACCUACCCUAUGGACGAGAAUAAUCUCGGGAAACUGAGGAUAAUACUCGAUAGAUCAUAAUGCCUGGAAUGGUUUAUGGUUAAAAUGAUUCGUCGCCAUAGGAUGGGACUGCGGCCUAUCAGCUUGUUGGUGAGGUAAUGGCCCACCAAGGCGAUUACAGGUACGGGCUCUGAGAGGAGAAGCCCGGAGAUGGGUACUGAGACAAGGACCCAGGCCCUAUGGGGCGCAGCAGGCGAGAAAACUUUGCAAUGUGCGAAAGCACGACAAGGUUAAUCCGAGUGAUUUCUGCUAAAGAAAUCUUUUACCAGUCAUAAAACCACUGGUGAAUAAGGGGUGGGCAAGUUCUGGUGUCAGCCGCCGCGGUAAAACCAGCACCUCAAGUGGUCAGGAUGAUUAUUGGGCCUAAAGCAUCCGUAGCCUGCUUUGUUAGUUUUCGGUUAAAUCCAUGUGCUCAACGCAUGGGCCGCCGAAAAUACUGCACAGCUAGGGAGUGGGAGAGGUAGACGGUACUCGGUAGGAAGGGGUAAAAUCCUUUGAUCUAUCGAUGACCACCUGUGGCGAAGGCGGUCUACCAGAACACGUUCGACGGUGAGGGAUGAAAGCUGGGGGAGCAAACCGGAUUAGAUACCCGGGUAGUCCCAGCUGUAAACGAUGCAGACUCGAUGAUGCAUUGGCAUAUAGCCAGUGCAGUGUCGCAGGGAAGCCGUUAAGUCUGCCGCCUGGGAAGUACGUACGCAAGUAUGAAACUUAAAGGAAUUGGCGGGGGAGCACCACAAGGGGUGAAGCCUGCGGUUCAAUUGGAUUCAACGCCGGG
rnacentral:rRNA from 1 species